rnacentral:ncRNA from 1 species
AAGAGCGAACCGGGGAGCUUGCGUCACGCAGGCUGAGAGGGAACUGGCGUUCCGACCCGCCGAACCUGCUGGGAUAAUGCCCGCGGAGGGAGACGCAGAGAAAACGAU